CUUUCUCUCUCUUCUUCCAUCUGCAAACGCCGGAAAACCCAAUCUCCGGCCACCACCUUUUGACACAGCCUCCACCCUUCGAACCAACUCCUAUAUCCGACCAAAACCCGAGCCCAGCACCGCCAUGCAUUAUCUCUAGCCUCCACACGCGACCACCAAACCUGCGACACCACUGCCUUCCAUAAUCCUCCGGUCUCCAGUCACUGAUUCACACCACCAUUAUCAGAAAUUGAAGCACCAAACCUUGAGGAGACCAUGCCUUAAAUCCCAAAGCCGGAAAACCGCCGUACGAGCUCGCCGGAACUCGUAGCUAGCUCUGCAUGCCUUCGUUCCCCAACCUCCAGUCGAAAUCGAGCUAAACUACCUCCAUAGGUGUAAUCAGCGCCUCACUACCCACCUGUUUCUGAGAUGCCGACCUCCGAUUCAGACCAGGGCCACCGCACGCGCUACACGCGCCGCCGCUGGCGCGUAGACCGCCAUAGCUCCGCGGGAAAUAAUGGAAUUCAGACCGGAGAGUGAAGCUUCUGGUCUUGGCUUUGAUUUGUGUUCUUGAUGGGAGGAUGAAGAACCGAGAAAGACUGCAAGAAGCAGCACCUUACGGAGAUUAUGGUCUCGGCAGAACUGAAAAUGGGUAAGGAAUGCAGGCCCUUGAGUUAUGAGUUCGAUUGUUGUUUGGACGUUGGGAUUAAUUAAUUAAGUUGCUGUUCUGCUUUGAGAGAUUUUGGAAAUCCUGAGCUUUGGAAUCUGGGAGUUUGAAGAUUUGGAGAAGAAGAACUGUUGGGUCAGUUUCCAUUGAAAAUGGAUUGAGGAAUUCGAGUGACUGUUGGUGGGAUUGCAGCUACGACGAAACUGGUUUCUGUUUUGGAAAAGGAGAAUGGUAAGGGGACUGUGCAUUCUGGGAUCUAUAUGGUUGUGUGCUAUUUGUAUUGAUAGAAGUUAUGACAUUACUAAGUAAACAAAAUGAGAUAUGGUUAUGCUGCAUGUGAAUCGGCUUAUUGAAUAGAGGAGAAUUGUCUUGAGAAUUAAAAGGAUGAAUUUGUUAUCAACGUCAAAGUGUAAAAUAAGAAUGGAAUUGGUGGUUUGGUCAAAUGCAUGAGAAAAGUGGUAAAUAAGAAUGGACCGGUUUUGGAUAAGUGAAUUAAUAUGUGGGAUGUUCAAUUUAAGGUCCGUGAAUAGAAAUAUUCCAAACCUAUCAUAUCCCAAAUUUAUCGUAUAAUGAAAUUAUUCGGGAAUGG
rnacentral:lncRNA from 1 species